rnacentral:rRNA from 1 species
UACGUAGGUGGCAAGCGUUGUCCGGAUUUACUGGGCGUAAAGAGCGCGCAGGCGGUCGUUUAAGUCGAAUGUGAAAGCCCCCGGCUCAACUGGGGAGGGUCAUUCGAUACUGAUCGACUUGAAGGCAGGAGAGAGAAGUGGAAUUCCCGGUGUAGUGGUGAAAUGCGUAGAUAUCUGGAGGAACACCGGUGGCGAAGGCGGCAUCCUGGACCAACACUGACACUGAGGAGCGAAAGCCAGGGGAGCAAACGGG